rnacentral:lncRNA from 1 species
AACGUGGUCAAAGCUGGUCAAAGGAGGUCAAAGCUGGUCAAACUCAGUCAACUGCUGGUCAACGCAGUCAACUCAGUCAACACGAGGCUCGGUAAAAUUUAAACGAUGCGAAUUCUGAAUGUCGUAGUUGCACGCUAGCUACUUCACAUUCUUGGAACGACACUACGGAAUCACGUUAAGCUAGCUUUGCCCAGGAAUAUUCAGAUGAGUUCAUAACC